UACGUAGGGGGCAAGCGUUGUCCGGAAUCAUUGGGCGUAAAGAGCGUGUAGGCGGUCCGGUAAGUCGGCUGUGAAAGUCCAAGGCUCAACCUUGGGAUGCCGGUCGAUACUGCCGGACUAGAGUUCGGAAGAGGCGAGUGGAAUUCCCGGUGUAGCGGUGAAAUGCGCAGAUAUCGGGAGGAACACCUAUGGCGAAGGCAGCUCGCUGGGACGUUACUGCGCUGAGACGCGAAAGCGUGGGGAGCAAACAGG
rnacentral:rRNA from 1 species